GAUGUUGUGGGAAGUUUACUUAAUACUUGUCUUAUUCAAAUGAGGUUUUUAUUUUUUGGUUGGUUUUUUUUUUCUUUUGUCUCUCUCUAUCUAUGCUGGAGUGUAGUGGCACAAUCUUGGCUCACCUCAACCUCCACUUCCUGGGUUCAAGCAAUUCUCUUGCCUCAGCCUUCUGAGUGGCUGGGAUUACAGGCAUGCACCACCAUGUCUGGCUAAUUUUUGCAUUUUAGUAGAGAUGGGGUUUCACCAUGUUGGCCAGGCUGGUCUCGAACUCCUGACCUCAAGUGAUCCACCUUGGCCUCUCAAAGUGUUGGGUUUACAGGCGUGAGCCACUAUGCCUACCCGUGUGAAAGAUUUAUACUAUAGGCAUUCCUGGGGGACUCCUUUGGGCUCCACCCACUUAGGCAACAGGGUGUUAGCGGGUCCCUGACCAAUUGUGUGGGACCUACCAAGUGUUUUCUGCCUUACUUUAAGGACCCAGCAGAUCCUCCCCUCCUCCACAAAGCCUUCCCGAGCAUUCCUAUUCUCAUUCUCGCAUCCAUCUUUCUUUCUAGUUCUUAAUAUCCAUGAUCAUCAGCCCUGUGCUUGCCUGGGGCAUCUUCUUUCUUGGCUGUUUAGUGUUACUUAUUUAUCUGUUUAGGCACUUACCUCUUUUGCCCCCAGGGAUGGUGGGUAUUUUGAGGAUGGUGGUACCUGAGUUGCACUUGUUAAUAUCCCCCUGUUCCGUGCAAAGUGUCUUCACACUUACACACACACCCACACAUGAUGCACUCACACAAAUGCUCCCAUCACCUUAAACCAGCAGGUAUCUGACUAUAAAUAAUCACCGAUGGAGACAUUGACGUCUCAUGAAUUUAGCUCUUCAUACUUCAUAAGAACCUUCGCACACUAUGUCAUUGCAGUUUUACGACCACCUGGGAGGAAGAUGUGUUACACCUUUCUCAAAAGCUGAGAACACAGAGGCUCAGAGAAGUGAGAUGACAUGGGAGACUCACAGCCAGACCUUUCGAGAGACAAAUAUUUGCCACAAACAAUCGCUGAUCCCUUCACCCAAGGGAGGGCUAGGGAGUACUCCCUCUGACCCAUGUUGCAGAAGAAGAAAGCCCUUGCAGUGGCUGAGAGGGCAAAAAGGGAGACAUUUCCAAACAGCAAAAGGACAAUGUUCUCUUCUAGAGGAGCUAGAAGACGCAGGUCUAACCACGGAGCAGGCUUCUCUAGAUGGAGAAACUAAGACAGAGAGAAGCUGAGCUGCUCAAAUUAAAUAGUGGCAAAGUCAGGAUUUGAUUCCAGGCCUUGUGACUCCAGAGCCUGAGCUCUCAACCCCCAACCUGUGAGAGAGGAAACUUGAAAGCUGCAUCAGGACAGAAUGAGCCAGCUUGGUGGGCAGGAUGAACUGCACUGGGGAAUGCUUCCUUGUCUCCAAGAUUUGCAGACACACCAGCCUCUCUGGAAGGAGCUAACUUCAUUCUGGAUGAAUUGUGUCUUCUUGGUUUUUAGCUUGUUUGUUUUUUUAAUUUUGGGGCAGGCUCCAGAGAGAGGCUCCCAGAGAGACGUUGCUGGCACGUGGAUGCCUAAGUCCUGAUUAUUAGAGGACUGAUCUCAGGAGCUAGGGCAGUCUCAGACGGUGUCAGGGUAGUCAGAUGCCUGGUGUCUCUAUGUCGGAUGCCUGGUGUUUUGAGGCUGACUGAAGUAUACAAUGCAGUCCAGGAUUUUUUUAAAUCUGUAUUUAUUAUUAGUCACAAGCGCUGUCCCUGUUGGGCCCUGCCUUGAGCUUUAUCUGUGGGGGUCUUGUGUAGUCAAGCAUGUGCAAAGGUACGCAGCCAGCCCUGGCGUGUGUUGUGGGCUGGGACUAAGCCUCAGAAUGUACCCUCGCUCGGCUCUUGCUCACAUGACUGGAAAGGUUCAAUAUUUACCAUCUACAGCUCUCUGCUUCCAGCUCCAUGUUAGUGAUAACCUCACUUUAGAAUGAAGAUUCUGAAAUGCUUAAAGCUAAAGCUCGCUCUUUCUUAGACCACAUCUAUCUGAGAAGGGAUAAUUGAAUUCACAGAAGUAGAUAACUUGAGUUGUUAACAUGGUUUUUCAAUUCAAAUCUUUGCAAUAUGGUUUGGUUUAUCUCCUGGCCUGUCUUGAGUCCUGGGGACCCCUGGAGGAACAAACGUAAGCCCUUCUGGUUCCUGGUUUUGAUAAUUACCGUUAGCAUCGUCUGCCAAGAUUGCUUCCUAGCAGUAUAGUGCCAGUUUUCCCUCUGGUUUUUCCUUCUUUUGCUGAAUCAGAAUAAAGCUCAGCAUAGAAACCUGCUGUCUUGCA
rnacentral:lncRNA from 13 species